CAGGACAUAGUUAAAUUAGAACGUCGGCUUUGGGGGUCGGUGGUGGGAGUUUAAGUCUCCUUGUCUUGA
rnacentral:tRNA from 1 species